AGGCAGUACAAAAACUGAAGAGGGCUAAGGAGAGUGAUAUAAUAAGAGGCUGGACAAGGAAGAAUAUUGGUCCAGCUUUCACUUGCUGGCAUUCAUUUUCAUUCCGCUGGCGAAGGGAUACUCAACCGAGGGCAACCCGGUCCUAUUACUGUUGGACUAAUCAGCAGCUCCACAUCGAUAUAUUGGCCUUGGCCCAACUGACUGGGAGCACCAACAGAAAGCUUAUAUUGGGUGGGAGAGUGGAAGACUAUGGAUCGCAUCUGUUCCCAGGACCAGGGGUGUAAAUUCCAGUGGGCUCCAGAUAGAGGCAAAGAUUGAGCUCCGUCUGCUCCCACCUCCCUAUGGCCCUCAGGGGGCUGGAAGGUAAUGAAGACUGGGCGGCAGGGGAUUGUCGAAAUAGAGACACUGCAAUAGUGUGUGUGUGUGUGUUUUUGUGUGUGUGAAUGUGUGUGUGUGGGGGGGGGACUUCUCAGCGGACAUAAGGAAAGAGAUUCCAGGCCCUGCUCUCCUCAUCACCUCUAGUGACCACAGAGCUGAUUACACAGCAGGUCAUAUA